GAGGUGCUUCUAAAAACUACUCAAAAAGUCUUAAGGCCAGCAAAAGAUAUGGUGUCUAGGGUGGCAUGUCCCCGUUCCCCACUCUGCAGUCCUUCGAGGAUCCGAGCUUCCGGAGCUGAUGGCCUUGCGCCCCCGGGACGCGGGAGCCUCUGGCCAGUCGACCUCGCUCAAGGAGGAAGAGGUGCUGGACACACACCGAGAAGACCAUGGAAAUCCGGUUGUCUGAACAGGGUUUAUCAACUGGAGGACAUGCUGUAAGACGCUCUCACUGAGGCAUUCCAGUGGGAGGCUCCUGUCAGUAUCUUUAAGUCUUUUCUUCCAGAAUAUUCAUUUACACAGAGAAAAACAUCCUAUCCUCUCCAGAAGACGCAACGCUGGUUGCAGCAUUCCGAGAAAAGCCCAAAGGGUGGGACAGACAUAAUUCACUGUUCAGCAAGGGUUUCAUUUUUUUGUUUGUUUUUGUGUGUAUGUGUGAUCAAAACAUACAGUCAAUGUUUAAAUAAAAAACAUAUUACAGUAAAA